UGCGUAGGUGGGCAGGUAAGUCCGUGGUGAAAUCCUAUAGCUUAACUAUAGAACUGCCAUGGAUACUAUUUGUCUUGAAUGUUGUGGAGGUAAGCGGAACAUGUCAUGUAGCGGUGAAAUGCUUAGAUAUGACAUAGAACACCUAUUGCGAAGGCAGCUUACUACGCAAAUAUUGACACUGAGGCACGAAAGCGUGGGUAGCAAACA
rnacentral:rRNA from 1 species